rnacentral:tRNA from 1 species
GCGGGGGUGCCAGAGUGGUCAAAUGGGAUGCGUUAAGGCCGCAUUAGCUUAGUGCUUACCUAGGUUCGAAUCCUAGUUCCCGCA